AACGAACGCUGGCGGCAUGCCUAACACAUGCAAGUCGAACGAGACCUUCGGGUCUAGUGGCGCACGUGUGCGUAACGCGUGGUAACCUACCCUUAGGUUCGGAAUAACUCACCGUAGGAGGUGCUAAUACCGGUUAAUGUCUUCGGACCAAGGAUUUAUCGCCGUGGGGUGGGCGCGCGUUGGAUUAGCUAGUUGGUAGGGUAAAAGCCUACCAAGGCGACGAUGCAUAGCUGGUCGGAGAGGAUGAUCAGUCACACUGGGACUGAGACACGGCCCAGCCUCCGACGGGGAGCAGCAGUGGGGAAUAUUGGACGAGGGGCGAAAGCCUGAUCCAGCAAUGUCGCGGGAGUGAUGAAGGCGUUAGGGUUGUAAAGCUCUUUUACCCGGGAUGAUAAUGACAGUACCGGGAGAAUAAGCUCCGGCUAACUCCGUG
rnacentral:rRNA from 1 species